AACAAUUCCUUAGUGGUUAACGCGAUGCCCUGCUACUUGUGUUACGCAAAAGCAGUUGAAGGCAUUUCCUUCGGGAGCGCAGGUUCGAAUCCUGCAGUCGUCG